rnacentral:hammerhead_ribozyme from 1 species
AAACUGCUGAGGAGUCCCACAACAGGACGAAACGGCCGUCCAGUGC